GUGGGGAAUAUUGGACAAUGGGCGAAAGCCUGAUCCAGCCAUGCCGCGUGUGUGAAGAAGGUCUUCGGAUUGUAAAGCACUUUAAGUUGGGAGGAAGGGCAGUAAGUUAAUACCUUGCUGUUUUGACGUUACCAACAGAAUAAGCACCGGCUAACUUCGUGCCAGCAGCCGCGGUAAUACGAAGGGUGCAAGCGUUAAGCGGAAUUACUGGGCGUAAAGCGCGCGUAGGUGGUUUUGUAAGUUGGAGGUGAAAUCCCCGGGCUCAACCUGGGAACUGCCUCCAAAACUGCAUGACUAGAGUACGGUAGAGGGUAGUGGAAUUUCCUGUGUAGCGGUGAAAUGCGUAGAUAUAGGAAGGAACACCAGUGGCGAAGGCGACUACCUGGACUGAUACUGACACUGAGGUGCGAAAGCGUGGGGAGCAAACAGGAUUAGAUACCCCUGUAGUCC
rnacentral:rRNA from 1 species